rnacentral:rRNA from 1 species
GAUGAACGCUGGCGGCGUGCUUAACACAUGCAAGUCGAGCGGUAAGGCCCUUUCGGGGGUACACGAGCGGCGAACGGGUGAGUAACACGUGGGUGGCCUGCCUUUAGCUCUGGGAUAAGCCUGGGAAACCGGGUCUAAUACCGGAUAUGACUCCGCGGCGCAUGUUGUGGGGGUGGAAAGCCUUGUGCGGCUGGAGAUGGGCCCGCGGCCUAUCAGCUUGUUGGUGGGGUGAUGGCCUACCAAGGCGACGACGGGUAGCCGGCCUGAGAGGGCGACCGGCCACACUGGGACUGAGACACGGCCCAGACUCCUACGGGAGGCAGCAGUGGGGAAUCUUGCGCAAUGGGCGAAAGCCUGACGCAGCGACG